CCUACGGGAGGCAGCAGUGGGGAAUAUUGGGCAAUGGGCGCAAGCCUGACCCAGCAACGCCGCGUGAAGGAAGAAGGCUUUCGGGUUGUAAACUUCUUUUAAGAGGGAAGAGCAGAAGACGGUACCUCUUGAAUAAGCCACGGCUAACUACGUGCCAGCAGCCGCGGUAAUACGUAGGUGGCAAGCGUUGUCCGGAUGUACUGGGUGUAAAGGGCGUGCAGCCGGGAAGACAAGUCAGAUGUGAAAUCCCGCGGCUCAACCGCGGAACUGCAUUUGAAACUGUUUUUCUUGAGUACCGGAGAGGUCAUCGGAAUUCCUUGUGUAGCGGUGAAAUGCGUAGAUAUAAGGAAGAACACCAGUGGCGAAGGCAGAUGACUGGACGGCAACUGACGGUGAGGCGCGAAAGCGUGGGGAGCAAACAGGAUUAGAUACCCUUGUAGUC
rnacentral:rRNA from 1 species